rnacentral:lncRNA from 1 species
GUGUCUCAUCGGAGCUGUCGUUUUCCCUCAGUCGAACCGAAGUUGUGGUUGUAUUUGAACCUGUGUCGAACCUUAACGAGAAGUCUCCUCUGUCGAACCCUAACUUGAAGUCUCCUCUGUCGAACGCAGUGAAAACNUCUUCCAUCGAACGCACUGAAGCUCUUGGAAGCGUUUUCCCUAAUUGUGGUUGUGCUCAACAAACACUGUGAUUCAGCCUCUGUGAUUCGCUGAGACCUUCAUCUG